AGCUUUAGAGGUUGCACUCAGUGGGUAGC
rnacentral:piRNA from 1 species